UACAGAGGUCUCAAGCGUUGUUCGGAUUCAUUGGGCGUAAAGGGUGCGUAGGUGGCAAGCUAAGUCGGAUGUGAAAUCCCAGGGCUCAACCCUGGAACUGCAUUCGAUACUGGUUUGCUUGAGGACUGGAGAGGAGAUUGGAAUUCAUGGUGUAGCAGUGAAAUGCGUAGAUAUCAUGAGGAAGACCAGUGGCGAAGGCGGAUCUCUGGACAGUUCCUGACACUGAGGCACGAAGGCCAGGGGAGCAAACGGG
rnacentral:rRNA from 1 species